AACGAACGCUGGCGGCAUGCCUAACACAUGCAAGUCGAACGAGACCUUCGGGUCUAGUGGCGCACGGCUGCGUAACGCGUGGGAACCUGCUCUUAGGUUCGGAAUAACUCCCCGAAAGGGGUGCUAAUACCGGAUAAUGUCUUCGGACCAAAGAUUUAUCGCCUUUGGAUGGGCCCGCGUUGGAUUAGCUAGUUGGUAGGGUAAAAGCCUACCAAGGCGACGAUCCAUAGCUGGUCUGAGAGGAUGAUCAGCCACACUGGGACUGAGACACGGCCCAGACUCCUACGGGAGGCAGCAGUGGGGAAUAUUGGACAAUGGGCGAAAGCCUGAUCCAGCAAUGCCGCGUGAGUGAUGAAGGCCUUAGGGUUGUAAAGCUCUUUUACCCGGGAUGAUAAUGACAGUACCGGGAGAAUAAGCUCCGGCUAACUCCGUG
rnacentral:rRNA from 1 species